GAACCUGCGGAGGGAUCAUUACCGAGUUUACAACUCCCAAACCCCUGUGAACAUACCUAUACGUUGCCUCGGCGGAUCAGCCCGCGCCCCGUAAAACGGGACGGCCCGCCCGAGGACCCCUAAACUCUGUUUUUAGUGGAACUUCUGAGUAAAACAAACAAAUAAAUCAAAACUUUCAACAACGGAUCUCUUGGUUCUGGCAUCGAUGAAGAACGCAGCAAAAUGCGAUAAGUAAUGUGAAUUGCAGAAUUCAGUGAAUCAUCGAAUCUUUGAACGCACAUUGCGCCCGCCAGUAUUCUGGCGGGCAUGCCUGUUCGAGCGUCAUUUCAACCCUCAAGCUCAGCUUGGUGUUGGGACUCGCGGUAACCCGCGUUCCCCAAAUCGAUUGGCGGUCACGUCGAGCUUCCAUAGCGUAGUAAUCAUACACCUCGUUACUGGUAAUCGUCGCGGCCACGCCGUAAAACCCCAACUUCUGAAUGUUGACCUCGGAUCAGGUAGGAAUACCCGCUGAACUUAAGCAUAUCAAUAAGCGGAGGAA
rnacentral:rRNA from 1 species